rnacentral:misc_RNA from 1 species
GAUCAUUAACGCGCAGGCCGGACGCUGGCCCCCCACGAUAGGGCCAAACGUCCGUCAGGGGUGAGCAGAUGUGCGCCGGCCGUACCGCCCCAUUCUUGUCUACCUUACUCGGUUGCCUCGGCGGGCCGCGCUCUCUCAGGAGAGCCGUUCGGCGAGCCUCUCUUUAGUGGCUCAACGCUGGACCGCGCCCGCCGGAGGACAGACGCAAAAAAAAUUCUUUCAGAAGAGCUGUCAGUCUGAGCGUUAGCAAGCAAAAAUCAGUUAAAACUUUCAACAACGGAUCUCUUGGUUCCGGCAUCGAUGAAGAACGCAGCGAAAUGCGAUAAGUAAUGUGAAUUGCAGAAUUCCGUGAAUCAUCGAAUCUUUGAACGCACAUUGCGCCCCCUGGCAUUCCGGGGGGCAUGCCUGUUCGAGCGUCAUUUCAGCCCCUCAAGCCCGGCUUGUGUGAUGGACGRACCGUCCGGCGCCCCCGUCUUUGGGGGUGCGGGACGCGCCCGAAAAGCAGUGGCCAGGCCGCGAUUCCGGCUUCCUAGGCGAAUGGGCAACAAACCAGCGCCUCCAGGACCGGCCGCCCUGGCCUCAAAAUCUGUUUUAUACUUAUCAGGUUGACCUCGGAUCAGGUAGG